rnacentral:tRNA from 1 species
GGGGAUAUAACUCAGUGGUAAAGUGAUUGUCUAGCAUGUAAGAGGCCAUAGGUUCAAUCCUAGUACACCUA